AAUUAAUUUUCAUUUUCAGAACGCGGCCGACGUAUGGAGUGGACCCGAAACGAAAAACGUCGUUUACUGACUUAAUAUAUUGCAGUAACGCGGCGGACACGGGAUGGAUUGAAUCCGGAACGAGGGGCGUCGCGAGUGAUAUAAUUAUAACGCGGCUUACAUCUUACACGAAAUGAAUCGGCUGCGGAACGAGAAACAUCACGAUUCAUCCCGGGAAUCCUAUACGCAUCCUGUGCAGUUGAUAAUCGG